UGGGGCACGAGAUCCAGCCAUGCCGCGUGUGUGAAGAAGGCCUUAUGGUUGUAAAGCACUUUAAGCGAGGAGGAGGGURCUGGUAUUAAUACUACCAGGUACUGGACGUUACUCGCAGAAUAAGCACCGGCUAACUCUGUGCCAGCAGCCGCGGUAAUACAGAGGGUGCGAGCGUUAAUCGGAUUUACUGGGCGUAAAGCGUGCGUAGGCGGCUAAUUGAGUCGGAUGUGAAAUCCCCGAGCUUAACUUGGGAAUUGCAUUCGAUACUGGUUAGCUAGAGUGUGGGAGAGGAUGGUAGAAUUCCAGGUGUAGCGGUGAAAUGCGUAGAGAUCUGGAGGAAUACCGAUGGCGAAGGCAGCCAUCUGGCCUAACACUGACGCUGAGGUACGAAAGCAUGGGGAGCAAACAGGAUUAGAUACCCUGGUAGUCCAUGCCGUAAACGAUGUCUACUAGCCGUUGGUCUCUUUGAGGGAUUAGUGGCGCAGCUAACGCGAUAAGUAGACCGCCUGGGGAGUACGGUCGCAAGACUAAAACUCAAAGGAAUUGACGGCGGGCGGGGGCGGCGGGACGGGCGCGGGGCSGGGGCGGGCGAA
rnacentral:rRNA from 1 species